rnacentral:rRNA from 1 species
CACGCUGUAAACGAUGUCGAUUUGGAGUUUGUUGCCUAGAGUGAUGGGCUCCGAAGCUAACGCGAUAAAUCGACCGCUGGGGAGUACGGCCGCAAGGUUAAAACUCAAAUGAAUUGACGGGGGCCCGCACAAGCGGUGGAGCAUGUGGUUUAAUUCGAUGCAACGCGAAGAACCUUACCUGGUCUUGACAUCCAUAGAAUUCUGCAGAGAUGUGGGAGUGCCUUCGGGAACUAUGAGACAGGUGCUGCAUGACUGUCGUCAGCUCGUGUUGUGAAAUGUUGGGUUAAGUCCCGCAACGAGCGCAACCCUUAUUCUUUGUUGCCAGCGAUUUGGUCGGGAACUCAAAGGAGACUGCCGUUGAUAAAGCGGAGGAAGGUGGGGACGACGUCAAGUCAUCAUGGCCCUUACGACCAGGGCUACACACGUGCUACAAUGGCGUAUACAAAGGGAAGCGAAGGUUCGAGCUGGAGCGGAUCUCAUAAAGUACGUCUAAGUUCGGAUUGGAGUCUGCAACUCGACUCCAUGAAGUCGGAAUCGCUAGUAAUCGUAGAUCAGAAUGCUACGGUGAAUACGUUCCCGGGCCUUGUACACACCGCCCGUCACACCAUGGGAGUGGGUUGCACCAGAAGUAGAUAGCUUAACCGCGAGGGGGGCGUUUACCACGGUGUGAUUCAUGACUGGGGUGAAGUCGUAACAAGGUAACCA